rnacentral:rRNA from 1 species
UACGUAGGGGCCUAGCGUUGUCCGGAUUUAUUGGGCGUAAAGAGCUCGUAGGCGGUUCGGUAAGUCAGGUGUGAAAUCUCCACGCUCAACGUGGAGGGGCCACCUGAUACUGCCGUGACUCGAGUCCGGUAGGGGAGUGUGGAAUUCCCGGUGUAGCGGUGAAAUGCGCAGAUAUCGGGAGGAACACCAGUAGCGAAGGCGGCACUCUGGGCCGGAACUGACACUGAGGAGCGAAAGCGUGGGGAGCGAACAGG